AUUAGCGGAGGAAAAGAAACCAACAGGGAUUGCCUUAGUAACGGCGAGUGAAGCGGCAACAGCUCAAAUUUGAAAUCUGCCCUUGGGCCGAGUUGUAAUUUGCAGAGGAUGCUUUUGGCGCAGUGCCCCCUGAGUCCCCUGGAAUGGGGCGCCAAAGAGGGUGAGAGCCCCGUACAGUCGGACGCCUCGCCAGUGUAAAGCUCCUUCGACGAGUCGAGUAGUUUGGGAAUGCUGCUCUAAAUGGGAGGUAAAUUCCUUCUAAAGCUAAAUACCUGCCAGAGACCGAUAGCGCACAAGUAGAGUGAUCGAAAGAUGAAAAGCACUUUGAAAAGAGAGUUAAAAAGUACGUGAAAUUGUUGAAAGAGAAGCGCCUAUAACCAGACUUGCGCUAGGUUGAUUUUCUGCCGUUCUCGGCGGUCUACUCGACCCAGUUCAGGCUAGCAUCGGUUUUUAUUCGGGGAUAAAAGCCCUGGGAAUGUAGCUCCUUCGGGAGUGUUAUAGCCCAGGGUACAAUACCUACAUAGGGACCGAGGACCGCGCUCUGCGAGGAUGCUGGCGUAAUGGUUAUCAGCGACCCGUCUUGAAACACGGACCAAGGAGUCAAGGUUUUGCGCGAGUGUUUGGGUGUAAAACCCGUACGCAAAAUGAAAGUGAACGUAGGUGAGAGCCUUGGCGCAUCACCGACCAAUCCUGAUGUAUUCGGAUGGAUUUGAGUAGUAGCGUAAUGCCUUGGACCCGAAAGAUGGUGAACUAUGCUUGGAUAGGGUGAAGCCAGAGGAAACUCUGGUGGAGGCUCGUAGCGGUUCUGACGUGCAAAUCGAUCGUCAAAUCUGGGCAUGGGGGCGAAAGACUAAUCGAAACAUCUAGUAACUGGUAC
rnacentral:rRNA from 1 species